AGGAAAAAGAGGGAAAGGGACAGACAGGAAGGAAAACAGACCGAGAGAGAUCAGUUUUGAGAUCCAGGAACUGCUUUUAGGAAAAGUGAAGGAGGAAAAGGGAAAGAAAAGGAAGACCCCUUCCCAACCAAAAUCUUUCCUUUCUUCUCUCUUUUCUGUCUUCUCUUUCUCCAUCUCUCAAACUCUCUCUUCUUCCCUCUCUCUUUAUUCUCCCUCUCUCAUCUCCUCUCUUCCUCUGCUCCUUUCUCCUGCUUUAACAGAACUUAUGUGGCUGGGACGCAGGGCCCUCGGGUGUCAAAACUUUGAAGAUUAAUGGAUUACUUUGUUAAUGACUGCAGGCGUCAGACUGAGGUGCUUAAAUGAUUUGUGAGGUGCGAGGCGUCUUCCCGACAGUCCCAAACAAUGCGCGGAGUGUGCGGGGGAGGCAGAGGGCAGCCACCGGCGGGACCGACAGCAGGGCUUACACUCGCGCACAUUCAC
rnacentral:lncRNA from 10 species